UACGAAGGGGGCUAGCGUUGCUCGGAAUCACUGGGCGUAAAGCGCACGUAGGCGGCUUCUUAAGUCAGGGGUGAAAUCCUGGAGCUCAACUCCAGAACUGCCCUUGAUACUGAGGAGCUCGAGUCCGGAAGAGGUGAGUGGAACUGCGAGUGUAGAGGUGAAAUUCGUAGAUAUUCGGAAGAACACCAGUGGCGAAGGCGGCUCACUGGUCCGGUACUGACGCUGAGGUGCGAAAGCGUGGGGAGCAAACAGG
rnacentral:rRNA from 1 species